rnacentral:rRNA from 1 species
AUGAACGCUAGCGGCAGGCCUAACACAUGCAAGUCGAACGGUAGUCAGCAGCAAUGUUGACGAGAGUGGCGCACGGGUGCGUAACGCGUAUGUAACCUGCCCCAUACUGGGGGAUAGCCUCCCGAAAGGGAGAUUAAUACCCCAUGGUAAUACUGAGUUGCAUGACUUGGUAUUUAAAGCUGAGGCGGUAUGGGAUGGGCAUGCGUCCGAUUAGGUAGUUGGUAGGGUAAAGGCCUACCAAGCCUACGAUCGGUAGGGG